CAGCAUGAUGGGGACACUUCCUGAUGAGGUCCUUUAAUCUUUCCCAGGACUCAUGGAACUACUCACCAUCAUGCUGUGAGAAGCUAGUGAGAGCUUGCCUUAUCUG
rfam:Cephalotus follicularis DNA, scaffold: scaffold3024, isolate: St1.